GCGGGCUUGAAUUACUUAUAGGUAUUUCAGAAGUAAAUUUUAUUUAUUUAUUUAAUUGUAUGCAUAUUUUAUACCUGUUUGCAAAACUUUGUUAAAAUGCAUCGAAUGUACUAAUAUUGAACGAAUUUCAUACUAAAAGGCGCAUUCAUUUUGAUACCAUAACCUAAAAAAGUAAACUCAGUGCAAUUUGCUGCAGCAAUUCCUUAUAACUGACUGUUAUAUAUUUAAUCAUUUAUAUAUUCAGGUCUCGACUGAUAGCUCUCUACAGUUACGCAGAACAAAGCCCAGAAGCCUGGAGGAUCUAACCACUAUAUUAUUCAUGUGUAUAUUAAAAUUUAAAUGAUCGUCAAAAUAAAUGCCAAGAUCCUUAAUUGUAUCAGAAUACUGAACAGGGCUUCCCUCUAUAUUAAUAAGAUAUUGUUGACACACCAAUCAUUUAGCCUAUUCAGGUCAUUCUGUAACAAAAUUUGGUCUUUGGGAGUCUGGAUUACUCUAUAAAAUUUCAGGUCAUC